rnacentral:rRNA from 1 species
UGGGGAAUAUUGGACAAUGGGCGCAAGCCUGAUCCAGCCAUGCCGCGUGUGUGAAGAAGGCCUUCGGGUUGUAAAGCACUUUUGUACGGGAAGAAAAGCAACUGGUUAAUACCCGGUUGUUCUGACGGUACCGUAAGAAUAAGCACCGGCUAACUUCGUGCCAGCAGCCGCGGUAAUACGAAGGGUGCAAGCGUUACUCGGAAUUACUGGGCCUAGAGCGUGCGUAGGUGGUUUGUUAAGUCUGAUGUGAAAGCCCUGGGCUCAACCUGGGAAUGGCAUUGGAUACUGGCAGUCUAGAGUGUGGGAGAGGGUAGUGGAAUUCCCGGUGUAGCAGUGAAAUGCGUAGAUAUCGGGAGGAACAUCCGUGGCGAAGGCGACUACCUGGACCAACACUGACACUGAGGCACGAAAGCGUGGGGAGCAAACAGGAUUAGAUACCCUGGUCGUCCACGCCCUAAACGAUGCGAACUGGAUGUUGGGGACAAUUGAGUCUUCAGUAUCGAAGCUAACGCGUUAAGUUCGCCGCCUGGGAAGUACGGUCGCAAGACUG